UACAGGGGGGGCAAGCGUUGUUCGGAAUUACUGGGCGUAAAGGGCUCGUAGGUGGCCAACUAAGUCAGACGUGAAAUCCCUCAGCUUAACUGGGGAACUGCGUCUGAUACUGGAUGGCUUGAGUUUGGGAGAGGGAUGCGGAAUUCCAGGUGUAGCGGUGAAAUGCGUAGAUAUCUGGAGGAACACCGGUGGCGAAGGCGGCUUCCUGGCCCGAUUCUGACGCUGAUAUGCGAAAGCGUGGGGAGCGAUCCGG
rnacentral:rRNA from 1 species